CGUUGUGUUGCCGCGUCCGGCGAUGACGUCAUAAGCAGGCGCCGCCGCCUGCUCUGGUUGGCCGACACAACGGGCAAACAGAAAUACUUUACAAACAAACAAACGGGACAAAAUAAUGUAUGUAUGUGUGUAUGAAGACAGGGAAUGGGGUCAUGCUGUGGAAAAUGCGUGAGAGACUGUCUAUGAGCUAUCGGAUCCGUGUGUGCACUCACAUUGCCAACAGCAGGAUAACAGAUAAGAAGGAGAAAGUGAAGAAGAAGAAAAAUAAAAGCUGUCGGAAGAAUCUUUAAUUUCACUGCAAGGAAAGAGCAGCUCAGUAGUUCAGCAGAACCAUGCUCUGAUGAUGAUGAGAACGACAUCUAUGAGCAGAAGAUUAUGGUGAAAGAGGAAAAUAAAGAGAUGGGGGAGGAGGAAGAGAUAAAAAAGAUGGAGGAGGAGUUAAUAGAAGAGGUGGAGGAGAUGAUGGAAGUGGUGGAGGUGAUAGAAAAGGAGGAGGAAAUGACAAAAAAUGAGAGGAUGGAAAAAAAGAAGAGAAUAUAAAGAUGGAGGAGGAGAAAAAGAGAAGGAAGGAUAAGACUGAUAAAGUGUGGACAAUGGUGGACGAUGAGCAGCGGAAGGAGAUCGAGUGGCCGAUCUGGAAGCCAAAACCCAUCGCUACUGCUCCCCACAUCCCUGAACAGGGCAAAAGUGAAUAUGUGGUCUUAAAAAUAAGCAAGUUAAAGAAGUUGCAAAGCAAACAAAAGAAGGAGAAGAGAUGCAAGGAAAAGAUCAGUAGACAGAUAACAGUGGCAAAGAUUAUCAGUCUGAAAAUUAAGGAGGAGAAUGAAAAGAUGAGGCUGGAAGAGGAGGAGGAGAGACAAAAGAAAACAACAAGCAGAAGGGUAUUCAGCACAAAGACUUUGAUAGUGAAAAAAGGAGAAAGAGAAGAUGGAGGAAAAGAAAGGAAAGGAAAGCAAAGGAAGGUGAAGAGGAGGAGGAUAACAUAGGGGAGGUAAAGAAGAGGAGGAGGAGGAGCAGAUUGAGAAAUCACAAGAUGAAAGAUGAGAAGGAGGAGGAGAAAAUAGAGAAAGUAAAAAAGAAGAGGAGACCAAGGGGAAAUUCAACAAAGGAGGAGGAGGAAAAGACAGACAAAAAGAAAGAGAAUGCAGAGAAGAAGUGGUGGAGGAAUCCAGAUCCCCACAAAAGAAGUGACAGAAGUCAUCAAUGGCCCCACACCAGACCUGCUCCAAUGCGGAGGCAGCUUUAAGAGCAGGAAAGACUGUCACCUUUUAUUCUGGUGGUGGAGAAUGAGGAGAUGUAAAAUAAUGUAAAUAAAUGUCUGUUGUAAAAAAAAAAAAGGUUUGUUUUUCUGUGUCGAGUUUAUUUGGUCAAUUGUCUGUUUCAAAAGUGUUUAUAUAUUCUUAAUUUCCUCAGAUGACUUUGGAAAGGUGUGUAAAGAUGUGCAACCUUUUCUCUUAUAACAGAUGAGAUAGAGAAAGCGAAGAAGAGAAAAAGAGCCGGAUUGCCUCUUUCUUUAGAGCUGUCGGCAGGAUCUUUAAUUUCACUGCAAGGAAAGAGCAGCUCAGUAGUUCAGCAGGACCAUGCUGAUGAUGAUGAGAACGACAUCUAUGAGCAGAAAAUUAUGGUGAAAGAGGAGGAAGAGGAGAUGGUGGAGGAGGAACAGAUAAAAAAAGAUGGAGGAGGAGCUAAUAGAAGAGGUUGAGGAGAUGAUGGAAGAGGUGAAGGUGAUAGAGAAGGAGAAGGAAAUGACAAAGAAUGAGAGGAUGGAAAAAGAGGAGAAUAUGAAGAUGGAGGAGGAGAAAAAGAGAAGGAAGGAUAAGAUCGAUGAAGGGUGGACAAUGGUGGGAGAUGAGCGGCGGGAGGAGAUUGAGUGGCCGAUCUGAAAGUCGAAACCUAUUGCUACUGUUCCCCACAUCCCUGAACUGGGCUAAAGUGAAUAUGUGGUCUUAAAAAUAAGCAAAUUAAAGAAGUUGCAAAACAAACAAAAGGAGAAGAAGAGACUCAAGGAAAAGAUCAGUAGACAAAUAACAGUGGCAAAGUUUAUCAGUCUGAAAAUUAAGGAGAAUGAAAAGAUGAGGCUGGAAGAGGAGGAGGAGAGACAAAGACUUUGAUAGUGAAAAUGGAGGAGAAAGAGAAGAUAGAGGAAAAGAAAGUCAAGGAAGAUGAAAAGGAGGAGGAUAAAAUAGAGAAGGUAAAGAAGAGGAGGAAGAGAAGGAGACCGAGAAAUCACAAGAUGAAAGAUGAGGAGGAGGAGAAAAAAGAGAAAGUAAAAAAGAAGAGGAGGAGACCAAGGGGAAAUUCAACAAAGGAUGAUGAGGAAAAGACGUGGUGGAGGAAUCUAGAUCCCCACAAAAGAAGUGACAGAAGUCAUCAAUAGCCCCAUACCCGACCUGCUCCAAUGUUGAGGCAGAAGGAAAGACUACAAGGAAGAGCAGUAAAGACUACAAGCUUUUAUUCUGCUGGUUUAAGCAAAUUUAAAGAAAUAGAGAAGGAAAAGACAAAGAAUAAGAAAGAGAAUGCAGAGAAGAAGUGGUGGAGGAAUCCAGAUCCCCACAAAAGAAGUGACAGAAGUCAUCAAUGGCCCCACACCAGACCUGCUAAAAUGUGGAGGCAGCUUUAAGAGCAGAAAAGACUGUAACCUUUUAUUCUGGUGGUGGAGAAUGAGGAGAUGUAAAAGAAUGCAAAUAACUGCCUGUUCUACAAAAAAUGUUUGUUUUUCUGUGUGUUGAGUUUAUUUGGUCAAUUGUCUGUUUCAAAAGUGUUGAAUUACUUGACUGGUGUUGUGUUGCUAGUUAUUCCCUUGAUUCUAAAAAACAAACACGUUCAAAACUUGAAUAUUAUCGUCAUCCUUCCACUUAUUUUAUUUUCAUGCUUUCUUCCCAUUUUAUCCUGAAAAAGACGAUAUGGUAAUGUGUUUUUUUAUUCACCUACUUUACAAUGGCUGAAAAGUUAAGACUAUUAAAGUAUUUACCUAGAACCUAA